AGAGUUUGAUCCUGGCUCAGGAUGAACGCUGGCGGCGUGCUUAACACAUGCAAGUCGAGCGAAGCAUACAGAGGGAAGUUUUCGGAUGGAACUGUGUAUGACUGAGCGGCGGACGGGUGAGUAACGCGUGGGUAACCCUGCCUCAUACAGGGGGAUAACAGCUAGAAAUGGCUGCUAAUACCGCAUAAGCGCACAGGGACGCAUGUCCUGGUGCGAAAAACUCCGGUGGUAUGAGAUGGACCCGCGUCUGAUUAGCUGGUUGGCGGGGUAACGGCCCACCAAGGCGACGAUCAGUAGCCGACCUGAGAGGGUGACCGGCCACAUUGGGACUGAGACACGGCCCAAACUCCUACGGGAGGCAGCAGUGGGGAAUAUUGCACAAUGGGGGAAACCCUGAUGCAGCAACGCCGCGUGAGUGAAGAAGUAUCUCGGUAUGUAAAGCUCUAUCAGCAGGGAAGAAAAUGACGGUACCUGACUAAGAAGCCCCGGCUAACUACGUGCCAGCAGCCGCGGU
rnacentral:rRNA from 1 species